UAACUCUACCUGACAUUUCUCUCCAGGUGUGUCGUCCGUACGAUCCAGUCCGUGUCACCGUGGUUACACAGCUUUGGGGGCGGGGACUCUGAGACUGAGGGCGGGGUUAUUCUGUGUGUUUCCUUAUUUGGAUGUGCGGACGUUGCUGCUCGCCGCUGAGGUGUGCUCUGAUUGGGAGUUUGUGGCACGGCACCCAGCCGUCUGGACACGAGUACGACUGGAGAACGCCAGAGUCUCCGCAAAGUUCCUAGUGACCAUGUCUCAGUGGUGUACUCAGACGCAUUCCCUGGUGCUCCAGAACCUCAAACCACGACAGCGGCGCCGAGAUGAACACAGAGAGGACUACGACAAGACCACACGGGGCUGUCUGGAGGGAGGUGUGGAGGCGAUGCUGAGGUCAGCAGGAAGCUGUCUAAUGGUGCUCAGAGUGUCUCACUGUCCUCACAUCCUGACUGACCGCUCCCUGUGGCUGGCCAGCUGCUACUGUAGG